rfam:Schistosoma rodhaini strain Burundi genome assembly, scaffold: SROB_scaffold0011872
GUAGGAGUGGUCAAGCGGUCUAAGCCGCCAGACUCAAGGGUGUUCUGAUCAACGAUAUGGGCGUGGGUUAGAAUCCCACCUUCGACA